UUUUUUUUUUUUUGCUUUAUUUUUGCCUUUUGGUCCUAGUUAUUUUUUCUCUCCUUUCCUUACUUUCCAACAAAUUCAAAUAAUAUAAUGAAUUUCAAAGGCACCAGGUGUUCAUUUGCUUCUGAGCUGUAUUUUCUUUUUAAUUGACGUUUCUAUCUUUCCAUUCAAUUAUCAUGACUAGGACUAAACAGGGCUAAUGACAAGUUAAAAAAAUAAAAGAAAGUGUGCUUUUUUGAAAAUCUAUACCAAGAAGAAAAAGGCCUGCUGAUGUUUUUAAUCAGCUUCAUUAUUCCUAUCAAUAAUGCUAAUUCAUAAAAAAAUAACCCGAAGACUCUGAGAAUUCAAUAGCACUCCUUAAAUACCUAAUUUCACUAUAUCUUGUAGGCUGACUUCUUAAUAUCAUUACGUGUUAAUGAAAAGGACAUAUUUUGAAUGCAACUCCUCCCAUUUGAAAAUAGCCUAUUAGUCACACUCUAUCCCAUACAUACAUAUUAGUAUGAAAUAAAACAACAGAAGCAUAAGAUGAAUAGCAUUACCUAACAAAUCUACAUAGCAUGUCUGAUAAAAUCAUGUGAUUGGGUAGAGAGAGAAAGAUGUCCAAAAGAUAAUGAGAAAAAAGCCAGCAAGGGAAGGUUUCCACGAAUCUCUGAAGUUUCCUUAGGCAAUUUGUUACAAUGCAUACGUGCCACAUGGAACAGUCAUUCCAGGUAAAAUGGCAUGGCUGUUGCUGGAGCUUGCUCCAACUUUGGCAGUCACGAACUUCUCUAGAAUGAAAAAACUGCUCUAACUAAGCUGCGCUUCUUAGGCCUAACUUCUACUCUGUGAUCCUUAGAAGAGAAGUGAGUCUCAGUAACCAUGCCUCAGAUAGCACUGCUCAUUUUCCAGACUUGGUGAUGGAUAGUGAGGACAUAAUGAUGAAUCACCUACCCAGCGCCAGGCUGUAGUUACGACGUAUGUACAGUAUGAGACUCGGCCACAGUGCCACAUGCGGAAGCCGUCUAGACAGGCGGGGGGCAAGUUUCCGUGGAAAGACAGAUGCAGCGGUGGAGUGUGCCUCGCCCCCUACAAGGGCUCCACCAGUGAUGCAGCGGUGAGUGCCUGGGGAGAUCACAGAUCAGGAGAUGCAGCGGUGAGUGCCUGGGGAGAUCACGGAUCAGGACUACGACUACGGCACAGUCUCCCCCAGUCAUCCCGAAGAAGAAAGUCAGGAGCCCGGCGUUGCUGCAGAGGGCACGAAAUCUUGCGCAACGGGAACAUUCUGUGCUGAUCUGUGGUGACGUGGGGCUGCUAGAGGGAGGAACAGCUGAGAGCAACUCGGGAGAGUGUGUGUGACCAAGUAUUACAGAGAGGAAGGCGGAUUUAAUAAAGCGGUCUGGACAGCUCCCGGAGGUCACCCUUGUUGGAAUCAAGUCACUGACCGAAUUCCUGUGAGAAUGAUCUGAUUGGUGAGGUCUGGAGAAAACAACCAGCCCACUGAAAUCGAUCAUACUGAGGACACCUCGGUGUGACACAUCACGUGGAAACUAUUUUGAAAAACUCCACAGGUUUAACUUGCAAAAACAUGGGCACAUCUACAGUCUAACACGAUUGCGUGAGAAUAGUUGACAACAUGAGAAUAUUUGUAAAUCAGAAAUGGAAUCACGUAUACCCACUUCCAAUGUCCUCCGAAGUUCUGCGACAGCUGUUUGAAUUAAUUCUUGGCGCCCUGAUGGCAGCAUCUCUGCACUACAUUCCUUAUUAUCUCCCCGCAUGAUAGCCCUUAUGUGAAUACCCAAGCCCUUGAACAAUCCCCUUAUCGGAGUCAUUCUUUGGAAUGUGACAUUAUUAAAGAGAUAUACUUGAUCUCGGUUUUAAACCCUGGAGAGAAGAAACCAUGAGUGGGUUUCUUCAAAUGAAAGUGUCAAACAGGAAUAGGCUCUGGCAGGGAAAUCUGUCCUGAAGUGCCAACUCGUUCUCCACUGAGGCGGUGUUAUCAGGUUGACCUCCAGCUCGCCGGGGAGUGCUCUAAAUGUGCAGUGCUGCUGGCCCGCAGCACGUAUUCUGAGAAAUUCUCAAAGAUCGAUUUUACUUCCUGGGGAAAUGCUAUUUAUUCGCAUCUGUUUUCAAGGUUCUUAAGGGGGGGAAAAACAAACAGAAAAAAUGCUUGUCUUCCCACUGCCUACAGGCAGGCUCAGAGAAUGACAUUACCAUGCCUUUUAAAAAGUAUUGAAUUAGCUGGCUAAUAAUGUUUUCUUCUAAAUUAUUCUAAAAAGAAAAAUAGUUGGCAUGUAUUAGGCCAUGUUUUACAUAAAAAAGCAAUUUUGGUAUUGACUGAAAUAAUUUAAAUCAAUUGUUCUAGUUUUAAACAAUAAAGCGUAAAGGGGGAGAAAAGCCCUUUUCUUUAUAGCUAUUCUCAUGGAUUUUUCUUAAGAGAUAUUUUACACGUUAGAAAACUUGUAAGAAACGUUUCACUAUAUUUAUAUAUAUAUAUAUAUAUUUACAUAUAUAUAUGUAAAUGUUUUAGUUUCUGUACUAUAGGAUUAAUCCUCUUGGUGAUUAUGACAAUAGCCUGAAAUUCUUGAAGUUACUAAGAGUUCCUCAUUAUUUAAUUUGUUUUUUUUUUCCUCCAGUAUAUUAUUUUAAAGUGUUGGAAGAAAAAACGUCCUACUAUGUAAGAAUCUGGUGAGGUUACUCUAUAUAUGACAAUUUACAAGACAAAAUUAUUCAUAAAUAAUUAAGGCUUAAAUUCUCCAUUUUUAUUAUCAUUCUUGAAAUCUGUUUUAUUAACUGAGACAUAAUAGAGAUGUUAAAAGAUUCAUAUGAUUGUAGGUAUCAGAAAAAAUACCUAACUAAAUUUAAAUGGCAUUUUAGAAAAAUCAUAUCUAGAUUUGUUUUAUGUUAUUCAUGAGAUUCCAUACAUUAUUAUAACAUCAAAUACAUCAAAGCUUCAUAGCUAUUCAAGCUAGUUCUGACCAUUCCAUACUAUUACAUUCUGAUUAGGGACAUCAUGGCAUUUACUGUGCUGCUUUAAGUUCUAUAUUUUGAUCACUAGCUCCCUCACUAGAAUGUAAGUUUGUGAAGGAAAUUGAAAAUAUUUGUGCAAUUGAAUGAAUCUAUUUGCAAAAUGUUAUUUAUUUUUCAAAUUGGAUAAGGCUGUUCUUAUUUACCAUGGAAAUGGUAUUAUUUACAGGCAAGAAAUUGAGCUUCAUUAAGGUUUAGCAGAACAGAGGUAUAAUAAAAUUUCAAGGAAUUAUUAGGAUAAAUGUUCCAAUGAUCUCCUAUGUGAAUUGUUCCUUGUAUUACAUAUUUGACAACAGUAAACAGCUUCUUGUUCAUUAUCUGCUUACAGUCAUAAUAGGUUUAGGUAAUUUAUGCCCAAUUAAAUUAUAACUACUUGAGUAUAGAGGUCUUAUGCUUCAUUAUAUGCCUUAAAUUCUACAGCAUACAGUAUAAUGACCUGUUAAAGAUGACACUUAAAUUAUAUUUUUUAUUGAUUAUAGU
rnacentral:lncRNA from 1 species